rnacentral:rRNA from 1 species
CGUAGGGUGCAAGCGUUAAUCGGAAUUACUGGGCGUAAAGCGUGCGCAGGCGGUUUGGUAAGACAGAUGUGAAAUCCCCGGGCUUAACCUGGGAAUUGCAUUUGUGACUGCCCGGCUAGAGUUUGGCAGAGGGGGGUAGAAUUCCACGUGUAGCAGUGAAAUGCGUAGAUAUGUGGAGGAAUACCGAUGGCGAAGGCAGCCCCCUGGGUCAAGACUGACGCUCAUGCACGAAAGCGUGGGGAGCAAACAGGAUUAGAUACCCUGGUAGUCCACGCCCUAAACGAUGUCUACUAGUUGUCGGGUCUUAAUUGACUUGGUAACGCAGCUAACGCGUGAAGUAGACCGCCUGGGGAGUACGGUCGCAAGAUUA